rnacentral:rRNA from 1 species
GAUGAACGCUAGCGGCAGGCCUAACACAUGCAAGUCGAGGGGUAGAAGGAGCUUGCUCCUUUGAGACCGGCGCACGGGUGCGUAACGCGUAUGCAAUCUACCUUGUACAGGGGAAUAGCCCAGAGAAAUUUGGAUUAAUGCCCCAUAGUAUAUAACCUUCGCAUGUUGGUUAUAUUAAAGUUCCAACGGUACAAGAUGAGCAUGCGUCCCAUUAGUUAGUUGGUAAGGUAACGGCUUACCAAGACGAUGAUGGGUAGGGGUCCUGAGAGGGAGAUCCCCCAGACUGGUACUGGGACACGGACCAGACUCCUGCGGGAGGCAGCAGUGAGGAAUAUUGGGCAAUGGUCGCAAGACUGAACCAGCCAGGCCGCGUGCAGGGAGGCGGUCCUAUGGAUUGUAAACUGCUGUUAUACAGGAAGAAGCGCUCCGACAUGUGAGAGCUUGACGGUACUGUAGGAAUAAGGAUCGGCUAACUCCGUG